rnacentral:lncRNA from 1 species
GAAGAUCCUACCUUUGCUCGCUGCUGCUGGGCACAAAGUCGGAUCUGGUGCGAUACGCCAUCUGCAAGAGCCAAUGUUCCAUUAAUUACAUAACCUCAGAAGUAUUCCAAACAGAUGGGAACGCACAAGUUAAAUCCUCAGAUGCGACUCUUGUCGACAAUGUAACACAAACAGCUUUAUAAAGGAGACACACACUUCCUUUUGCCAUCUUAGUUAGCAACUAUCUUAGUUCUGCACACGACUUCGGGCGAACCAUAACCAGAUUCCAGGAGUUCCAUCAUAUCUGACUUUAGGCUAAAGGGUCGGGCUAGGCGAAACAGCACAAAAAGGUUGGGCGAAGCGAACCACACCAGAAGGGGUCGGGUGAAGCAAACCGCACAGGAAGGGGGUCGGCGAAACGAACCGCACAAGAAGGGGGUCGGGUGAGGCGGAGAAGCGCCUCGAGGGGUCGGGCGCGUCCAACCUCGCGACCCGGGGUCGGCCAAACUCUGGUUAGACCCACAGAAAGCGAGCGUGUGGUCACAGCACAAACUCACACAGUCUGGCAUCCCAAACGUGUUGCAAAAGAGUCAGAGAUCAAGCUAAGAUCUGAUUUCACACAAUCUGGGGCAGCGCGACUGUGGAGGGGCAGCGAAACAGCCGGGAGGCAUCGGACUCUGCAGCCGGGGGUCCGGCGGGGUGAUGAUGGGCGCGAGCCGCGAGACGCUGUAGAAAGGGUAGCAGAGGAGCUUCCGCUGCGAUUGGGGAAGGGGGCGAGGAUAUCCAUCCGAUCGCGGCCGGCGACGGGGCGGAGCGGCGGGGGUCGGAGAAGUUGAGCCACGCGGCGGAGGAACUCUGAAGCGGGCAUGCCACUCGAGUGUGCCUGUCGUGGGAGAUCUGGGGGAAAGAUUUUGUGGGUCCACCGGUCAGUCUCGGUUGGUCCACUGCUCAGAUUGAAGGGAGGUGUGGUGGGGAGACUUAGAAGAAUCCGGCGGGUGAGUUGGGGUCGGAACUGGGGAAGCGGUGGAAAGGGGUCAGUUCUCAGGGGUCGGAACCGGACUGGAGGUUGAGCACUUAAACUCAGGGAAGCUUGAGACGGGGAUUAGGGACUCGGAUUAAGAUUAACUCGAGAGAUUUGGGGUUAGUCGUCACAGCUGGCCUAAAAAGGAUAGCGUGGUACGAUGUUUCAAAGUUUACCACCUCAAAUCGGAUGUACUCUAUUCGGUAGUGUUCUCUGGUCCAAAAGGUAACUGGCAAAAUCACAUGUCCAAGGGGUACAGCCGCGUUGCAUGGGACAACGCCGUAGAACGGUGAGUUCGUGGGGGUGAACAUGUUAGUGACAUCGAGGCCCAUCAUCUUCAGCGUUUUGGUGAACAGGAUGUUGAGGCUGCUACCACCGUUGAUGAGUACUUUGGUGAGUUUAAAGCCUACAACCACCGGGUCCAGGACGAGAGGAUAACGUCCUAAGUCUGAGAAACUAGUCCAUUGAUCUGCCCUGUAGAAGUUAAU